rnacentral:misc_RNA from 1 species
GAUGAAGAACGCAGCGAAAUGCGAUAAGUAAUGUGAAUUGCAGAAUUCAGUGAAUCAUCGAAUCUUUGAACGCACAUUGCGCCCGCCAGUAUUCUGGCGGGCAUGCCUGUUCGAGCGUCAUUUCAACCAUCAAGCCCCAGGCUUGUGUUGGGGACCUGCGGCUGCCGCAGGCCCUGAAAACCAGUGGCGGGCUCGCUGUCACACCGGGCGUAGUAGAUUUUAUCUCGCUCAGGGCGUGCUGCGGGUUCCAGCCGUUAAAAAGCCUUUUUUACCCAAGGUUGACCUCGGAUCAGGUAGGAAGACCCGCUGAACUUAAGCAUAUCAAUAAGCGGAGGA